UACGUAGGUGGCAAGCGUUGUCCGGAUUUACUGGGCGUAAAGCGCGCGCAGGCGGUCGUCCAAGUCGCGUGUGAAAGCCCCCGGCUCAACUGGGGAGGGUCACGCGAUACUGGUCGACUCGAAGGCAGGAGAGGGUAGUGGAAUUCCCGGUGUAGUGGUGAAAUGCGUAGAUAUCGGGAGGAACACCAGUGGCGAAGGCGACUACCUGGCCUGUUCUUGACGCUGAGGCGCGAAAGCUAGGGGAGCAAACAGG
rnacentral:rRNA from 1 species